rfam:Felis catus isolate Cinnamon breed Abyssinian chromosome D4, whole genome shotgun sequence.
GCCUGGGUGGCUCAGUUGGUUGAGCGCCCGACUUCGGCUCAGGUCAUGAUCUCGCGGUUCGUGGGUUUGAGCCCCGUGUCGGGCU